GAAAAAUCCUACCUGGAGGGAAGAGAAGGGAGGAAAGAGAAGGGAGCGGGCGCUCCGUCAGUCACCCGGCUACAACGCCAAAACCAAAGAACAGCCGCCCGCUUGCAGCCUGAGGCGGGCGCCAGAGCUGGCGAUUCCGAUCCGGUGCGCCUCCCGCGCUUCUUCCUCUCCCUGCGCGCCAAUUCUUCCCAUGCCUAGCCCCGAAUCGCUUCCUGCACGCCACAAAUCGAAGCCUCAAAGCCUCCAAAUCACCCAUAAAUCAGCCCAUCCCCAACCCUAGAACCACCGGCGGCGUCAAAUCAAGCAAGCAGGUGGGCGUCGACGCCACAUCUUGUCCAGCCGGCGCCUCAACCCGUCUCACCGGCGACGCCUCGUCUCAUCCCGCCGGCGCCGCAGCCCGUCCUGCGACGGCCUCAUCCCGCUGGCGGCCUCCUCUGCACCGGACAUGUUUGCUCACGAGGCUGCAGCAACGAGUGUAGCAGGUACUUCGGGUCAAGGCCGUUGCUGGGCGCCGCCUGCUACAUCUGCUUGGCUACACGACUGAGAAUAUUGACGACUCCGAUCCGCAAGCAUGGUAUGCAUCUAGGUUAACAUAGUUAAUCAGAAUCUGAUGCUUGUAGCUACACUCGUGUCCCUACUUAUCUCAACGCUGAAAAAUCAGAUGCUUUUGAGGCGUCUUUUCUCUGUACGGUGUGGAACUGCUGUGCUUUGUAUCAU
rnacentral:rRNA from 1 species